rnacentral:rRNA from 1 species
CCUACGGGUGGCUGCAGUAGGGAAUAUUGCUCAAUGGGGGAAACCCUGAAGCAGCAACGCCGCGUGGAGGAUGAAGGUUUUCGGAUUGUAAACUCCUUUUGUUAGAGAAGAACAUGACGGUAUCUAACGAAUAAGCACCGGCUAACUCCGUGCCAGCAGCCGCGGUAAUACGGCGGGUGCAAGCGUUAAUCGGAAUCACUGGGCGUAAAGGGCGCGUAGGCGGGAUAGCAAGUCAGAUGUGAAAUCCUAUGGCUUAACCAUAGAACUGCUUUUGAAACUGUUAUUCUAGAGUGUGGGAGAGGUAGGUGGAAUUCUUGGUGUAGGGGUGAAAUGCGUAGAGAUCAGGAGGAAUA